GAAGCUUUUGGCGCGCAGUCCAAGUUUCUUUCACGCCAUAUCACUCACCACGGCAUUAGCAGUUUCCCUGUGUCGUCAUGUUCUUCGAUUCGUCUCCGACAAACUUCAACAAUGGUCCUUCCUCCCCGGAUGACUCCUACUCGAGUCCUAUGAACGACACUUUCUCAUCCUCCGCGUCUAGCCGCCUUCUCCGGGGAGAUCGAUCCUCCACACGUUCUGCAUUUGCCAACCCCCCAGGCUCAUCCCUCCGCAGAUCUGUUACCUCUCGCAGACCUCCUCCGCCAAUUCCUUCAUCUACUGAAGACGGUCCGCUGUUCUCCUCAUGUCGGCAUGGACAAGACUUCCCAAACCUUCGUAUGGGGACAAACAUCAGCGUCUAGGACAGGAAGGAACAGAUACAGACUUUCUUGACGCAUUUCAUGGAAAAUUGAAGGAGUCAGAGUCAAAAUUGAAGAAUUCUGUGAAGUUGAUAAGAGAGGCAGAGUAUAUGAGGGAAAUUCAGUUAGUUUGUGCUUGAGGUAGAGCAGGAGUGGCUUGAUGUUGAUCCCCGCUAUGUGUUCGAUUACAAUACAGCCCGCUUGAGGUCCUGGCUAUCUUCGAUAUUGUGAGAGGGAUCAGCCCACUGUAUGAGAAGGACGUUCUAGUGAGGAUUUAUAAUCACAAGAGCCUCUACUUCAAUGAGAAAUCUCAACCCAUCAGACAUUGGGAAGAUGGUUUCACUGAAGGGAAUGAGCAUUCGGUGUAGUUCUAUUUCUAUAAUACAGAGAUCAUGGAAGCAGUAUUUAGGUGUCUUGUCUGCGGGUACUAUUCUGAUCCCAUUGUUGUGGAUAGAGGUUUGCUGAUAAGCAGAUUGCAAGGCUUCUGGAAACACUUGAAGUGGGACGCCACACACAGUGAGUUUGUUGUUGCAUGACAAGCUGGUGGAUACUGGAAAGCCAGGUGACAGGGUUGUGAUCACCGGGAUCUACAGGGCUACGAGUGUUAAGAUUUGGACCAACACAGAGAAAGUCAAUUCUUCAAAUUUCAAG